rnacentral:rRNA from 1 species
UACGGAGGGUGCAAGCGUUAUCCGGAUUUACUGGGUUUAAAGGGUGCGUAGGCGGGCCAUUAAGUCAGUGGUGAAAGCUUCGAGCUUAACUCGGAAACUGCCAUUGAUACUAUUGGUCUUGAAUUCGGUCGAGGUUGGCGGAAUGUGUCGUGUAGCGGUGAAAUGCUUAGAUAUGACACAGAACACCGAUUGCGAAGGCAGCUAGCUAGACCGACAUUGACGCUGAGGCACGAAAGCGUGGGGAUCAAACAGG